GGAGGGAGAUAUCUUGCCAAAUUCUUCACUUGAAAUCAAGGUGAUCUUUAAGCCCAAAGAAGCCAGAGUCUACCAAGAGGCAGCCUACUGUGACAUCUCAGGCUGUGAGACCAGGCUGCCCCUGUGCAUCAGCGGGGAAGGCGUCGGGCCCCAGGUGGAACUCAGCUGCGACCAGGUGCUCCUGCUCAACAGAGGAGUUCCUGAGGCUCCCUUCAGCGUGGUGUAUCCGGAGAGAGCUCUGGACUCCUGCUACGAGGUGGCUCUGCGUGGGG